rnacentral:rRNA from 1 species
GAUGAACGCUGGCGGCGUGCCUAAUACAUGCAAGUCGAGCGAACAGACGAGGAGCUUGCUCCUCUGACGUUAGCGGCGGACGGGUGAGUAACACGUGGAUAACCUACCUAUAAGACUGGGAUAACUUCGGGAAACCGGAGCUAAUACCGGAUAAUAUAUUGAACCGCAUGGUUCAAUAGUGAAAGACGGUUUUGCUGUCACUUAUAGAUGGAUCCGCGCCGCAUUAGCUAGUUGGUAAGGUAACGGCUUACCAAGGCAACGAUGCGUAGCCGACCUGAGAGGGUGAUCGGCCACACUGGAACUGAGACACGGUCCAGACUCCUACGGGAGGCAGCAGUAGGGAAUCUUCCGCAAUGGGCGAAAGCCUGACGGAGCAACGCCGCGUGAGUGGUGAAGGUCUUCGGAUCGUAAAACUCUGUUAUUAGGGAAGAACAAAUGUGUAAGUAACUAUGCACGUCUUGACGGCACCUAAUCAGAAAGCCACGGCUAACUACGUG